CGUGUGUCCAAGCAAUGCUAAUGCCGGGGUCCCCUUUCUCAGAAAAUCGCCAAGGCUCGGCGGCGCGUUUUGCGGACCGCAACGGUUCAGAUAUGGUAUGGAGUUUUGUCUGCAGUCACCAAGAGAACUGGCAUGUAGUGGAACAAAUAAGAGAAGAAUGCCGGAAACAGUCUGUGUGUGAUGGAGAGGAGAUCUCAAUUGCCAAUGAUAAGUAAUAGUGUUUAACAUCUGGUGUUUGAGGUUUGUUACAGAAGUUAGAUACAGUACAGUAGUAGAUUUGCUCAAGGGGUUUACAGUUGACUUCUUGGCAUUAUGGGUGUGUAUUAUUCCCAAGGGAAAAUAAUACCUUUCCUACCUCCCUGUUCUACAAACCUGCAUGAAUAUAAGGCUAUACCCUAGACAUGUGUUGGUUUCAACUAUAGAGGCAUUUAAGUAUUUUUCCAUUGUCAGCCAGAGUGUCUGAAAAUGUUCCUACUUUUUGACAUCAUAGUCAUUUAGCAGACACUCUUAUCCACACCAGUGAACAGUGACCUGACUGACAAACAGCUGGAUGAUUGGUCAGGCAGCUUGUGUUGUUGUAUUGUGAGUCGUGUCUUGUUGGCUGUGAUCCCAUCUCCACACUAGAGCUUUAUUUAUUUAUUCUGGUCCAGCAGAAGGAUCUCUGACUGUGAUUUUAUCAGCUCACCAAUGUUUUUUCCUUCAAUUUUAACGCUUUCAACGGCUUUUCUUGCAUCACAAGAAUGUUAUUUUUCCAUUAAUUUAGGGUCAAAUCCUUACUUGACCUCUGUGUGUUAAACUAACAUUGGAUUGAUGUCAAUGCCUAAUGCACGGGAAAAUCAGUUAUGUUGAAUACUGUAUUCACACUACAAAAACAUUUCAUCAGAUUUGUGAUCUCUUUCUCUCUAUCCCUCUCCCUCUCUGUGUUUUGUUUGAGUUGGAGGUCUGUCUUCAGAGAGGGAUAGACCAUUUCUGUUUUGUCAUGAGUGGAUUAUGCCUGUGAUGAGACAGUGAGGGGAUUGAGGGAAGAAGCCACUGGCCUGGCCUGCCCUUGUCAUAAGGUGUGUGUGUGAGUGAGACACCAGAAGUGACACCCACAAGAAUAGUAAACAAACAAAACAUUUACCAACUGGGAACAUUUUGUUUGUCCUCACAGGGUCAAAUGCUAUUUCUAAGGGUGUUAAGGUUAGAAUUAGGGUUCAGGGUUAAUGUUAGGUUUUUGGGUUCAUGUUAGCGUAAGAGUAUGAGUUAAGGUUUAGGGAAAAUAGGAUGUUGAUGUUGGGAUUGAAUUGUGUCCCCACAAGGUUACUGAGAGAGUGUGAGGAUCUGUGUUUAUUGCACAAUAACCCAAUACUAUAUCACAUGUGAUAUAAUAUUAGCAACUGUUGGCCUGGGCGCCUGGGUGUCUGUGUGUGUGUGUGUGUGUGUGUGCUGAAAGUAACAUUUUGCCCCAGAUAGUGUGCUGAGAAGCUGUGGUUAACCUUGAGCGAGAACAGUAUGCUUUCUAUCCAGGUGCAAAUAGCUCAAACAAUGUUACAGAACUGUCUGACCUCAGUCUCCAGGGUGUGGGAGCGUAAUCUACACAGCAACAGCGCCGGACACCAAGGAGCGCCAAGAGGCUGGGACCAGCCUGAGCGCCGGCGAUAGGCUGAGCAAAGUUUAAACCACGCUCAGCCUCUACUGUGAUAGGCCAACAGACGGGUUGGAACUACUUCUAUCACGGUAUAAGAACAGCUGUUUACUUACAUCCUGCCAGUUCUCUGUUCUGCCCUGCGAGGUGAUACAGAGAACCCGUAUAUACGAAAAUUGCAUUUACCAUUUAUCGCUUGAGUUUAAUAAAAAUACUUAAAGUAUAUUCGGUGACUCUGAAUCACAUUUUGUCCUGAUACCAGAUUUGAAUUGACGCAAAUCCCUUAUAUAGUGACCCCGACAGUGAUCUGGUGAAGGACUUCUCUGGGCAUUGGCGUGCCAGGCAAUUGACCAUUGCUGUCGUCAGACGGGUGUGUCUCACAACUCCAAACCGGUCAACUAAAAAGGUAAGCAGACACCUAUUGUAAAAAACUAAAGUUCUGCACAUUGGCAUUAUCCAAAUUUAGUUUUGUGAGGCACUUGUUUGAUGUAAGUAACCAAAUGUUAUUAGUUUAUAUUGGUAAAAAACAUAAGGAAUACAUAGUGGUGAAUGCAAUUUUGAAUGGCCAAGUAUUCAAUGAUAUGACAGUGAAUGCAAUGUACUAGGUAGACCAGAAGUUCUACUUGAUGUGUGUGUAGGCCAGAAGUUCUACUGAUAUGUGUGAGGGUGGGUCGAAGAACCUACUAGGGUGAGUGUGGAUGAACGGCAAUAUAACGUGUAUGUAAUGUAUUAGGUGGGUCGGCGUACCUACUGGUUUGUGUGUGAGUAAGUUAAUAAACUUGCUGAGCGAAUGAAGGUUGAUUAUAGAAUCAAUCGAGUGAGUGUAAUACAUUAGCCAUUGGUGGGCGUACUGAUGGCGGUUUGAGUGAAUAGUAAUCCAGGCCAGAAGUUCUGUUUUAUACUAUUACAGGCCAGAAGUCCUGUGUUAUAUUGGAAAUAAGAUAAGUUUAUCGGGCGAUUGUAGUGCAUUGGGUAUUAAGUCGGCGCACUGAUACCAGGUUUGAAUGUCCCAGAAGGAAUUAAAGGACCAGAAGUCCUGCAGACCAGAAGUUCUGCGUUAUAUCAUUGAGUAUUGAGGGGGUAGUAUUAUUUACGCAAACUAGAGACGUGAUUUUAGAUAAAAAUUGACCCUGAAUUUACAUGGUGAUUGAACCCGCCUUCUAUUAGAACAGUUCGAUAAAUAAAAUACGUUAAAAAUGACUAGUCAGGAGGUUGAUAAAGUACUGAAAACAUUGAAGUCAACAUUAGAAACUAAUGGAGGAAGAGAGGUGAGAAAAAAUGUAUAGAGAAUGGACUGAGGAGGGCAGCAUUGCCUCACAUAGCAGGCUCCCAGUCGACGGGGAGCCCGGAAGAAUACUAGACUGAAACGUAAAACAUAUAAAUCCAGUUCCGAGUGGAAACAAGAGGGAGAGAUACGGUUAGUUAGUGUUUAUGUAGGAUAUAAACUGAACGUUUAAUAGCUUGUUUAGGUUGAAUUGAAGGACUGAUCCAUUCUGGAUGGUAGCGAGGCGAUUUCGAUGUGAUGCGUUGUGUUGCCUAAAUGAUCUGCUGGAACAAUGUAUAGAGACUGGAGUCAUAUUUAAAUUACUGAACCAUGGAGGACGGUUGAUGACGGAGAGAUACGAUAAAGUUGUGCCCAUCGGAAUGUUAUUAUUCUUAUGGAUUGACUGACAUGCAAUAUAAAUUUAGCGAGGUACAUGGUGUUUUAAAAAGUUGGGAGUGGAGAAAGUUGAAAAGUUGAUUUUACUUUUACGAUAGUUUUGGUGCAAAACUCAUUUGGAGUAAGGGGUAUGUUUUUGCCUAGAGGCAGGAAUAAGAGUUAGUUUUGGUGUGGGCUACUAAUUUUCAGGGUAAGUUGCUAGAGGCAGGUUGAUUUGUUGUGUAAUAACGUAAAACUGCGUCAUUACGUGGGAUACACAAUAACGUUACUCAAAUGGAUUUGACCAUUGUUCAGGUACACUCUUUUCUGUACUUCUGGCAGUAUAAUUUUGAUUGAGAGAUGUUGAUUGAUGUUGUAAAUUCUAUUCAAGAUCCAACAUUUGUGAUAAAUUAAUUUUGGUUUAUCGAACUCGUACUACUGCCUGUUGCAGUUAGCCAACAAUGAUUUACAAUUCGUUGAAAGUUGCUGCGGCCUGAACACGGGCUGAGCGCUGGUUGUUGACAUCACUCACAAUGCACUUUUGCAACCAGGCAAUGAUGUUGUGACUGAGGGUGGGACAGAGAAAAUGGUUUGUGUCAUUUAGAGGGAAAAUGCGUGCAUUAUAGCUUUGAGCCACUUUUCACAAGUUGUUAAAAGUUCCAAAUAGAAUUUUAAAAGUAGCUGAAUAUCGUCAGGGUAGUCUAAAAAGAUGCUAAAACUAUCAACAAAAAUUGCUAGGUGGCCAUUACGGAUUGUUGGCGCUCACUGGGCUGUAUUUUGCUAUAAGAGAGGAAGGUCAGAAUAGUUGAAUCGUAAAAGUUUAUGAUAGCUCUUUAUUGAUUUUUAGUUUGAAUGUCUAGGUAACACCAGUGAAAUUUAACAGGAAGUUAAGGUAUAUUAACAUGCCGGUGGAGCUGAUUUAAUGUUAAAGGGACAGUUAUAAUUACUAGGUUUUGUUUGUAGUAAACGUUGGGUUUGAGGGGAUUUCCAUGUUUCCCAGAGACAAGAUAUCUUAAAAGGCUACACAAACAUAUGGAAUAUUAGAAGUUUUGUUUUCUGAGUUUUCAUAAAUACGUAAAUUUUUUAGAUAAAGGGUUCUUUAUUUUGUCUAAUAUAGUAAGGAACACUUCUUUAAAGUGGUGGUAUGGCUUGGGACUUCUGAGGUGGCUUUGUGGUCUGAUCAGCCACAUUGGAAAGCCAUUUGAAUGGAGAAUCUAAGGUCAUUGGCGUCUGAGUUAAGGUAAUAUGAUACAACAAGGUGGUGAAAUUAAUAUUAUGGAUAGUGGUGGAGGAUGAAAAGUCACUUGAGGGCGCCAUUGGUCAAUUUAUGGAGGUUUGAAGUGCCCACUUCUCUGUUCAUUGCACUAUGCUUGGCUGUGGAAUGGGUAUAAUGGCUUCAGGGGGUGAUGGAGGUCCAUGCCCGGGUUGGGUGCACCCUCUAUGCGGCCCCCUACCCCCCCACCCUUGAUUGUCCACAAGAGGGCGCCAUUGGACAUUUUAAGCGGAUUUUAAGCAUAUGGGCCUGGGAACACAAUGAUAAUUAGUUAGGAUACGUUAACAUGAGUCUACUUUUUUUUUUUUUUUUUAAGUAUUUAUGUUAAGCCAACAGGGCAGGAAAAAGAUGAACAUAGAAAAAUAGUGAUUUUAUAAGGCUAACCCAUGUUAUUGUUAGAUAAAAUACAGUGGACUCCUGAAUGAGAUAUUUCAUUAGUACAGAAAGCAUAUGAUAUGGUUAGCAUUCGUUUUGGCCUCAUUUGAUCAUAGUGUGAAUAGUAUAAAGUGGACGGGGAUAUAUGACAUCUGUGGUGAUUCAGGAUUAUUGAUAGGUUAAAUAAGGUUCGAUCCUGUGUAUCGAUCCUAACAUGUAUCGAUCCUAUCUCGAUCCUAUGUAAGGACUUUCAAAAUUGCCACCAUAGACAUGUUUUUUUUUUGUUUUUUUUGUAAUUCCAUGGGUUCAGAUAACAGUGAGACACUUAGUUAAUGUUUGGGACCAAGCUACAGACAGAUAAGGGAAAGGGCAGACAGAGGGGCCCUCCCCACACUGCUGAGACCUUGAAGGUUGGGAACAGAGAGAUAGGAGUGACACAGACUGGGUCACGGUUACUGAGGGGAGACAGAGGGAGUGAAAACUUAGUUGGUUUCAGGAACUAAGGGGCAGCACUGAUAACUUUUAAAGUAGAUAAGAUACUUGACAGAGAAUUGUUAGAUUUGCGCCAGUAUUGAUACGAGGGCGGAGCCAUGUAUCAAAAUGGGGAUGGAAUAGGGCACUUUGUGGUGUGGCCUAUUAGUUAAAUAUCCCUAGAGUUGGUUUACUAGGAUAAUAAUGGAGGACAUUCUAGCUAAUCAGAUAGAAUAAAUGAGAAAUUGUUUGUUAACCAAACCUGUAUGUCCAAGAUUUUAUGCACUACAGGUGAAUUACAGGAGAAGGGGAUUCAUGCAAUCCAGUCCAUGAGGAGAAUAGGUGGAAUGCAGCCCCGUUGGGAGGGGCCAGACCAAGUAUUCCUGGUGACAGCCUUUGCGGUGAGAAUAGCUGAAAGAACUACCUGGGUUCAUAUCGCACAUUGCAAGAGGGUAAGACACACUGACACUGCCGAACCAUCACAGAGUUAAGGAGAAGAACCGUAGCUAAUAAAGUUCGGGGGUCAACUCCUUAACGAAGAUUUCCCUGACCCCGCCCUCUCAUCACUGUGUACGUUCAUAGAAGUGGAAGUACUGUCUGGCCUCUGACUGCUGAUAUGUUCUCUGGGAGAGGGUGAGGCUUUACAGGACUGCUGGUCGUCCUGAGCUGUCUGAUUGGGAUACGAUGGGGAUGGUUGCCAUCACAGUGCUGCCAAAACCACCACCAGUUCCAACAGGCCAAGGCCGGGUUCAGCCGAACUCCUCCACCACUUCAAGACCGGGUUCCACAUCGUCACCUAAGCUCUCCAAUCCGGUACAGAUAAUAAAUGUAAAGGAUAUCUCAGAUAGCGACCAAUUGGGGACUGAAACUGGCUAUGAGGGUAGGGAUAAUAUGUGGUUAGCCUAUAUGAGGUAUACAGCCAAAACACUUAACAGAAAAGACUGUGUGAUCUGUGGACAUGCUAGACCUGUUCUGGCUACUCACCCAUUUGCCCUUAGCAGUGGGGAAGGUUGGAUGUGCAUAUUGGAACGUUUCUACCAUAAUAAGCCAAAUUCAACCCUGUGUAAAGCUCUGAGUCUUGUGUUCCCAGAAGUUCCUCCCCAGAAGGCACCAUGGGGAGUUGAGGCAUAUGGGGGAUAUUACAGCUGUAUCACUGGUACAGGUAUAGACUAUGGGAGGCUCUCUACUGCUGACUGCAUCACUAAUGUCACUAUUAAUGCCACCUGGCCCGUUGAAGGGCUGAACCAAACUAGAGGUGUUGCUGAUGUAUGGUGGAUGUGUGGACCUGCCAGGCGGUUGACCCCUAUUUUGAAAGGAGACUGGCAGGGCACAUGUGCUUUGGGCAGUCUGAUAACACCAUUGACUAUUAUUGAGGUUACAGCUAACCAACUCCUGGGAUCUGCACAUGACACAGAGGCUCGGGACCAACCCAGGAGACGGCAGAAACGUGACGCUCCUUGGUCCGAGGGUACAGAUAACAUCUACACCAACCUGUUGGGGUCCCAAUAGGGGUCCCCCACGAAUUCCAGGCAUUAAACAGGAAUGAUGGCCUGUGGCAUUUGUUGCCCAUUACUGGCCCAGCUAUUGUUGAUGCUAAGAAAACUGCCUGGAUCAAUUAUAUAUACUAUAAUCAACAACGAUUUGUUAACUACACCCACACCGCACUUAUGGGGAUGGCUGAACAAUUGGAUGCCACCUCUCGAACCGCUAAACAAAAUAGGCUAGGAAUAGACAUGAUUCUGGCCAACCAGCGAGGUGUUUGUAAAAUGUUUGGAGAACAAUGUUGCACGCUUAUCCCUAUCAAUACCAGUCCGGAUGGGAGCAUUUCAAAAGCUCUGAGAGGGUUGGAAAAGUUAUCUGUGGAGAUGAAGGGUUUUAAAGGUGUGGAGGAGGGGGCACUGUUCUCCUGGCUGGGUGGCUGGUUUGGUGAGUACACUGCAUUGAUGGUUACUGGAUUUCUGACCCUGAUAGUUGUAUUUCCUAUAUUAAUGUGCUGUGCUGUGCUGCAUGUAUUAUCCCCUGUUUGAGGAAAUAUUUUACAGAUGUUGCGCACGCUGCGGUUAUGAUGCCACUGCUUGAUCACGGGGGGGAUGCUGAGACUGCCUUGGCAGAGGAUGAUCCAUGGUUUGCUAUAUAAUUUUUUUUUUUAAAUGCUUAUUUUUAGUUUAAUUCAUUGCUUUUUGUUUCACAAUAUAUCCUUGUAAUCUUUUACCCUGUAUGUUGUCCUACCUUAUGUCAAGGUUUACAUUUCCUGGGUGGGUGUUAGCCAACCUAGUACCUGUUAGGUGUAGCACGGUGGACUAGAUGUUUUUUUAUUCUUUAUACAAUAAGGUGUGUUUCUUUUAAUCUUUGUAUUCUGAGUGUGACACCAGGGUGUCAAAAGGGGGAGUCGAAAUGCAGCUUAGCGUAUAUCAUUUGUUGAUUGGUGUAAUUGUUGAUUUAAAAAAUAUAUAUAUAAUAAUAAUUAAUUAAUAAUAAACGUUUGACUAUUUUCAUGAAAUACUAUUAACAUAUGACUAUACUGUGACCGCUGAAGUAAAGGAUAAUGAGUGACACCCUAGGGGUGUCUAAAGGGGGACUCCUAAAAAUCCCUAUGGUAUCUAAUAUGUUACUAGGGUAACGAGAACGUGUUCUGAAUGGUCAUUAAAGGUUUAAAGUUCCUGGGUUCAUCAACAACCUGGUAUGUAUGUAUCGAUCAUUGAACCUGAUGGUUUCUGUUUUAAUUUACACCACUUAGGGGUGUAAAAAGGGGGAAUUGUGAGGAUCUGUGUUUAUUGCACUAUAACCCAAUACUAUAUCACAUGUGAUAUAAUAUUAGCAACUGUUGGCCUGGGCGCCUGGGUGUCUGUGUGUGUGUGCUGAAAGUAACAUUUUGCCCCAGAUAGUGUGCUGAGAAGCUGUGGUUAACCUUGAGCGAGAACAGUAUGCUUUCUAUGCAGGUGCAAAUAGCUCAAACAAUGUUACAGAACUAUCUGAUCUCAGUCUCCAGGGUGUGAGAGCGUAAUCUACACAGCAACAGCGCCGGCCACCAAGGAGCGCCAAGAGGCUGGGACCAGCCUGAGAGCCGGCGAUAGGCUGAGCAAAGUUUAAACCACGCUCAGCCUCUACUGUGAUAGGCCAACAGACGGGUUGGAACUACGUCUAUCAUGGUAUAAGAACAGCUGUUUACUUACCUCCUGCCAGUUCCCUGUUCUACCCUGCGAGGUGUUACAGUGAACCCGUAUAUACGGAAAUUGCGUUUACCAUUUAUCGCUUGAGUUUAAUAAAAAUACUUAAAUUAUA